rnacentral:rRNA from 1 species
UACGGAGGAUCCGAGCGUUAUCCGGAUUUAUUGGGUUUAAAGGGUGCGUAGGUGGAUUGAUAAGUCAGCGGUGAAAGUUUGCAGCUUAACUGUAAAAUUGCCGUUGAAACUGUCGGUCUUGAGUGCAAAUGAGGUAGGCGGAAUGUGUUGUGUAGCGGUGAAAUGCUUAGAUAUAACACAGAACUCCGAUUGCGAAGGCAGCUUACUGGGAUGCAACUGACACUGAUGCACGAAAGCGUGUGUAUCAAACAGGAUUAGAUACCCUGGUAGUCCACGCAGUAAACGAUGAAUACUAGCUGUAUGCGAUAUACCGUAUGUGGCACAGCGAAAGCGUUAAGUAUUCCACCUGGGGAGUACGUUCGCAAGAAUGAA